CUCUUUGUGCACCCGCCCACACGGUUUGCCGUGUUUUCACCCUUCUUUGUUCUCCACCGGUCUGGGCAGGGUCUGAGGACUCCGGAGAGCAAGGCAUGGGUCCGCCUCGUGCCGCAGGGCUUUGCUGCUACGCACUGACAAGUUGGACGGCUUUUUAUUGCUUUGUUGCCAGUUAUCUGAACAUGAGAGGCUGUAAGGUGUAAUCUGCGAGCCCUGCGCCCAGACUGAACCAGGGCCUCCCUUGAACAUGAGUAUUAGACAAAUGAAAUAAGAACUUAUCUUGCCCAGACUAUAUAAUGGCUUGGAAAUGCAUAGUUUCCUGAACGAUCUCAAUAAAAUACUUUUAAAAGUA
rnacentral:lncRNA from 1 species